UGCUCCAAGAGUUUAUAUAUGUGUUGCUGCAGUUGAAAAGCUCGUAGUUGGGAGUUGGAUAGUUUGGUGGGUGGUUCGGGUUUGGGAUUCUGUCCCUGCCUGUUAAAUUCACACUUGUGUGUUGCCCCCACCACUUCUACUUUUUUUGUUCAUGUAAGGGUGAGUUUCCUCACCUCUACAUUUGAACGUGUUACUUUGAGUAAAUCUGAGUGUUCAAAGCAGACGAACUUCCUUCGUCUUGAAAGUUGUAGCAUGGAAUAACGUGAUAGGACUCCGGUGGCCCUUUUCAGUUGGUCUAAGCCGUUCCGGAGUAAUGACUAAGAGGGACAGUCGGGGGCACUCGUACUUCCUUGUCAGAGGUGAAAUUCUUGGAUUUAGGAAAGACGAACCACUGCGAAAGCAUUUGCCAAGGAUGUUUUCA
rnacentral:rRNA from 1 species